CCCAGGUGGGGUAUGGCCCAUCUGGUGCAACACAAAAUGAAAAGGGACAGAUAUGGGAAUUGAAGUCCUGCAGAGCAUUCCCAGGCAGAUACAGAGACUGAUUUUGUUCAAGUUCCCUCUUGCAAGAAGCAAAUGACAGGAAACCAGUACAGAGUGUUAUUAGAUUGAAGGGAGUCCUGCUGGCACAUGCAUCUGAGGACCAAAGCUGUAGACUGAGGGAAGACCCUGGUAAACCAGGGCAAGCUCAACAGAGCCCUGCAGGGCUAGACCAACAUCCCCACCACUGGAAGGAACUUGAUCAUGGUUCUUCACCCACCAGGGACUCACCUGCUUCAUCUCCCAUCUCUCCAUAUGCCACAGGCACUGAUACAUCCAUGU